rnacentral:rRNA from 1 species
GAUGAACGCCGGCGGUGUGCCUAAUACAUGCAAGUCGUACGCACUGGCCCAACUGAUUGAUGGUGCUUGCACCUGAUUGACGAUGGAUCACCAGUGAGUGGCGGACGGGUGAGUAACACGUGGGGAACCUGCCCCUAAGUCUGGGAUACCAUUUGGAAACAGGUGCUAAUACCGGAUAAUAAAGCAGAUCGCAUGAUCAGCUUUUGAAAGGCGGCGUAAGCUGUCGCUAAGGGAUGGCCCCGCGGUGCAUUAGCUAGUUGGUAAGGUAACGGCUUACCAAGGCGACGAUGCAUAGCCGAGUUGAGAGACUGAUCGGCCACAUUGGGACUGAGACACGGCCCAA